UCGGACACAUUGCUCGGUACUCACACUCCACUCUCAGUGGAGAUAGCCUUUGGCAAGUCUCAAGUAGCGUCGACCAUCGCCUCCACUGCCUGCCCGACCCGAGUCCUGACCGCCGGCUCCCAGGGCCACCCCCUCACCGGCUUCCCCAUGGCCGGCGGGAGGAGAUCCCCCGCCCCUGCCUCCCGCUGCUGCAGCGAGUUCUACCUCUCUCAUGUCUCCUUACCGCUGCAGCAAGAACCAGACCUUCCCCUGCUUCCCUACCGCUGCAGCGAGUUCUGUUCAGCAAAGAUCACGCCCGCAACCCGAUUGAUGGAUCCACAACACCGGACUCCUCCUCCUGCGCGAGAAACCUAUGAAUCGGAGUAAGUGCAGACGGACGCCAGCGUGCUUCGACGGGCAGUGUUGCGAGCAUCCAGCAAUGGAUGGUCGACGUCCCUCCCCACCUCGCUCGUCGUGGCCUAUCGGAGAAUCCCGCCCGGCAAAUCGCUCAUAUCCUUCUGCUUCCACGCCUCUCCAACAGGUCCGCAUCUCUAUAAGAACUCCCUGAAGGUGCUGAUGAUGGAGUUGUAAACUUUUUCGCCGAUGCUGACAUACUUGCAUAUAUCCUGACUGGCCAAAUGACCUCGGUGAGAAAUCUAUGGAGGUUUGUUUCAUAGUGGAUGUAUGCUGCGGAGUCUGCUAAGGCUUCAGGGAAUGAUAACUUCAGGUUAAUUCUAACUUGGCUAAGCUCCACCCUUUUUAUAAGGAACGGGUCCUCACCCAGGCACACACCCUGACCUCUGCAACAUCAGGAAUGUCCAACUGCAAAAUGAGCUUCUGGGUUCUCAUCAUGGACAACCGAGCGUGCAAUCUCAUGUAGCUGGUGCAAGUAUUUUUCUUGAAGUAAUGUGAGCUCCCCCUGUAGAGAAAAUGGUAAUUGUUCCAUCAGUGUCUUCUGUCUACCAUGAGUAUGCAAUGAAAAGCCAAAAUACCAGUGGUUAUCUUUAGGGUAAUAUGAAUGAAGAACUGAGCAACGGUUGGUGAGACAUAGGGAACAUGUUUUCACAUAUGCCCAAAUCAUGAUAAGUGAGCAACAAUGAUAGCAGAAAAAACAUGGCUGAUUCGAGAGGGAAGAGGGUGAUGGUGCAUCAGCUAGUGAUUACAUACCUGAACUAUCUGAAUCUGAAUUUCGAUGAUGAUCCUCCUUGCGACGUCCCUUGCUGGUUUGUUUGAGGAGAAUGAGCAGGUUGAAAAAUGCUUUAGGUUAUUUCUAUGAAUGCUUUCUUCUCGCAAUACUUUUCAGGUAUUAAGGGCAAUGGUUUAAUUACCAUUACCAUAACGGGGUGCUUGGGGCGAAAUUGGGAAAUGUUUUAAAUACCAUAGCGUGAUGGAUGGGGAGUUAAUUUCAGUCUGCCGAGAUACUAUUGAGAUACUAUUAAAGAUUUUGGGCAAUGUUUUAAUUA